UUAUUUUGCCUUCAGCUUUCGGUUACAGACAAGAUUCAAAGGAGUGAAAAUGAAGAUGACUAUGUCUGUCAGUGUACUUUGAUUUAUUGAAUUUU